UACGUAGGUGGCAAGCGUUGUCCGGAUUUACUGGGCGUAAAGAGCGCGCAGGCGGUCGUUCAAGUCGAGUGUGAAAGCCCCCCGGCUCAACUGGGGAGGGUCACUCGAUACUGAUCGACUCGAAGGCAGAAGAGGGAAGCGGAAUUCCCGGUGUAGUGGUGAAAUGCGUAGAUAUCGGGAGGAACACCAGUGGCGAAGGCGACUACCUGGCCUGUUCUUGACGCUGAGGCGCGAAAGCUAGGGGAGCAAACGGGG
rnacentral:rRNA from 1 species